UCUGCAACUCGACUACAUGAAGCUGGAAUCGCUAGUAAUCGCGGAUCAGAAUGCCGCGGUGAAUACGUUCCCGGGUCCUUGUACACACCGCCCGUCACACCAUGGGAGUCGGGAAUGCCCGAAGCCAGUGACCCAAGCGAGAGCAGGGAGCUGUCGAAGGCAGGCCGGAUAACUGGGUGAAGUCGUAACAAGGUAGC
rnacentral:rRNA from 1 species